AUGAACGCUAGCUACAGGCUUAACACAUGCAAGUCGAGGGGCAUCAGGGUGUAGCAAUACACCGCUGGCGACCGGCGCACGGGUGAGUAACACGUAUCCAACCUGCCCUUUACUCGGGGAUAGCCUUUCGAAAGAAAGAUUAAUACCCGAUGGCAUAACAUGACCUCCUGGUUUUGUUAUUAAAGAAUUUCGGUAGAGGAUGGGGAUGCGUUCCAUUAGGCAGUUGGCGGGGUAACGGCCCACCAAACCUUCGAUGGAUAGGGGUUCUGAGAGGAAGGUCCCCCACAUUGGAACUGAGACACGGUCCAAACUCCUACGGGAGGCAGCAGUGAGGAAUAUUGGUCAAUGGGCGAGAGCCUGAACCAGCCAAGUAGCGUGAAGGAUGACCGCCCUAUGGGUUGUAAACUUCUUUUAUAUGGGAAUAAAGGGUGCCACGUGUGGCAUUUUGUAUGUACCAUAUGAAUAAGGAUCGGCUAACUCCGUGCCAGCAGCCGCGGUAAUACGGAGGAUCCGAGCGUUAUCCGGAUUUAUUGGGUUUAAAGGGAGCGUAGGUGGACAUGUAAGUCAGUUGUGAAAGUUUGCGGCUCAACCGUAAAAUUGCAGUUGAAACUGCGUGUCUUGAGUACAGUAGAGGUGGGCGGAAUUCGUGGUGUAGCGGUGAAAUGCUUAGAUAUCACGAAGAACUCCGAUUGCGAAGGCAGCUCACUGGACUGCAACUGACACUGAUGCUCGAAAGUGUGGGUAUCAAACAGGAUUAGAUACCCUGGUAGUCCACACAGUAAACGAUGAAUACUCGCUGUUUGCGAUAUACAGUAAGCGGCCAAGCGAAAGCAUUAAGUAUUCCACCUGGGGAGUACGCCGGCAACGGUGAAACUCAAAGGAAUUGACGGGGGCCCGCACAAGCGGAGGAACAUGUGGUUUAAUUCGAUGAUACGCGAGGAACCUUACCCGGGUUUGAACGCAGUCUGACCGCCGAUGAAAGUCGGUUUCUAGCAAUAGCGGAUUGCGAGGUGCUGCAUGGUUGUCGUCAGCUCGUGCCGUGAGGUGUCGGCUUAAGUGCCAUAACGAGCGCAACCCUUAUCUUCAGUUACUAACAGGUCAUGCUGAGGACUCUGGAGAGACUGCCGUCGUAAGAUGUGAGGAAGGUGGGGAUGACGUCAAAUCAGCACGGCCCUUACGUCCGGGGCUACACACGUGUUACAAUGGGGGGUACAGAAGGCCGCUACACAGCGAUGUGAUGCCAAUCCCUAAAGCCCCUCUCAGUUCGGAUCGAAGUCUGCAACCCGACUUCGUGAAGCUGGAUUCGCUAGUAAUCGCGCAUCAGCCACGGCGCGGUGAAUACGUUCCCGGGCCUUGUACACACCGCCCGUCAAGCCAUGGGAGCCGGGGGUACCUGAAGUACGUAACCGCAAGGAGCGUCCUAGGGUAAAACUGGUGACUGGGGCU
rnacentral:rRNA from 1 species